rnacentral:rRNA from 1 species
AGAGUUUGAUCAUGGCUCAGGAUGAACGCUAGCUACAGGCUUAACACAUGCAAGUCGAGGGGUAGCAGGGUAGCAAUACCGCUGACGACCGGCGCACGGGUGAGUAACACGUAUCCAACCUUCCCAUAACUCAGGGAUAGCCUUUCGAAAGAAAGAUUAAUACCCGAUAGUACUUUUUCAAGGCAUCUUGAGAAAGUUAAAGAUUUAUUGGUUAUGGAUGGGGAUGCGUUCCAUUAGAUAGUUGGUGAGGUAACGGCUCACCAAGUCUUCGAUGGAUAGGGGUUCUGAGAGGAAGGUCCCCCACAUUGGUACUGAGACACGGACCAAACUCCUACGGGAGGCAGCAGUGAGGAAUAUUGGUCAAUGGGCGAGAGCCUGAACCAGCCAAGUAGCGUGAAGGAUGAAAGGUCCUAUGGAUUGUAAACUUCUUUUAUAGUAGAAUAAAGUGAUCCACGUGUGGAUUUUUGUAUGUAUACUAUGAAUAAGGAUCGGCUAACUCCGUGCCAGCAGCUGC